CGUGUCGUGAGAUGUUGGGUUAAGUCCCGCAACGAGCGCAACCCUUGCCACUAGUUGCUACAUUUAGUUGGGCACUCUAGUGGGACUGCCGGUGACAAACCGGAGGAAGGUGGGGAUGACGUCAAGUCAGCAUGCCCCUUACACCCUGGGCUACACACGUGCUACAAUGGGUGAGACAAUGAGAUGCAAAUCUGCGAAGACAAGCUAAUCUAUAAACUCAUUCUAAGUUCGGAUUGUAGGCUGCAACUCGCCUGCAUGAAGUUGGAAUCGCUAGUAAUCGCUGGUCAGCUAUACAGCGGUGAAUUCGUUCCCGGGCCUUGUACACACCGCCCGUCACACCAUGGAAGCUGGUUAUACCCGAAGUCGUCACUCUAACCAUUCGGAGGAGGAUGCCUAAGGUAGAAUUAGUGACUAGGGUGAAGUCGUAACAGGUAACCUAC
rnacentral:rRNA from 1 species